GGAAUAUUGGACAAUGGGCGCAAGCCUGAUCCAGCCAUGCCGCGUGAGUGAAGAAGGCCUUAGGGUUGUAAAGCUCUUUCACCGGUGAAGAUCAUGACGGUAACCGGAGAAGAAGCCCCGGCUAACUUCGUGCCAGCAGCCGCGGUAAUACGAAGGGGGCUAGCGUUGUUCGGAAUUACUGGGCGUAAAGCGCACGUAGGCGGAUUGUUAAGUCAGAGGUGAAAUCCCGGGGCUCAACCCCGGAACUGCCUUUGAUACUGGCUGUCUUGAGUUCGGGAGAGGUGAGUGGAAUUCCGAGUGUAGAGGUGAAAUUCGUAGAUAUUCGGAGGAACACCAGUGGCGAAGGCGGCUCACUGGCCCGAAACUGACGCUGAGGUGCGAAAGCGUGGGGAGCAAAC
rnacentral:rRNA from 1 species